rnacentral:lncRNA from 1 species
UCCCAGCUGAGCCCUGCAGCCCCGGACCCCAGCAGCAGCAGCACCAAGGGACUGAAGCCACUCUGCUGGGGGCACAUUCAAGGUUCCUGAGACCAGAACCCUCAGGAAAACAGAGGGAUCACCAGACGGGGCGGGGAGCGGGGGGGGGGGGGGGGGGGGNGUCCGCGCAUAUCCCAGCAGCCCUCCCAGCCUCAGCAGCCACCAAAGCCCUCCAAGUUGCAAGGUGCCCUCCAGCCACAGGCCUGGAAGCCCUCGGGGAAGCAGAGCCUCCAGAGGUCCCUGGAGCAGCCAGAGUAAGGCCGAGUCCGCCAGCAGUAGGGCGGCCCAGGGUCUCAGCGCGUGCCUUGUUCUGUGCCCGGCGGCCAGCAGGGGGCGCGCGACACCGCAGACCCAGGAACAGACGCCCAAGUCCUGCUCCACUUGCCAGACACGGGGUUCAGUCUCCCAGCCUCAGCAAAGGUUAUUCUGUAACGGGAAAGUAUUUCAAUUUAAACAAUCGUCACCAACUAAAGUAAAGCUGUUUCCAGGAUUGGGAUGCUUUAUAACUGGAGAACCGCUGGAUUUUCUUACCUCAAAUUCUUACCACCUCAAGCUCUGGACCUAUUUGGAGAACUGCUUCUUCCUCCAAGCCAAAGUGGAAUUUGUGAAAAAUAACCUAGCUAGUAUUUGUACUGGAUAAAGAGGAAGAUACAGCACGACUAACACAAGGUCGAGGUCAAAGAGAAAGAACUAAGACUCUUCCUACAUACAAUAUUAAUGGACGCAUCUCUGAGAGUUCCAGGUGUUCUGGGACAGCUCAAUGGCAAACAUCUGGCAUCCUGAAGACACAGAUUCUUCUCCACUGCAGGAACAAACGUGAUUUCUCCUCAACCUCUCCAAGAAAUGGUGAACUUUCAUAUGAAUAUAAAUAUGUUUUUCCAAAAUAAAUGAGAUACUAUCUUUGUCUCCACUCUGAAAUAUUCAAACUUGCACUACAUUAUGUUGAAAAAUCUGAAAUAAUGAAUGAGAGCAAUAGAUUGGAUUUAGGAAUUUGGAGCCCCCUGUUCUCUUCAAUAAGGAGACUUGUACAGAAUCUCUGGCGCCAUUCCAUAAGGUCAAUGCAAAUUUUGUCAUUUCCAGAGGAGAUUAGCAAUGCUGAUGAGGGGAACCUUUCAGAGGAACUAGAACUGUUAUCCUGAAGCUGCCUCAAUUUAUAGAAAGUACUGUCACUCCCUAAAAUGGACAAUCACAUUUCCAUGAAAUAAAAUGAAAAAAAAAAUUGUCUUAACAUAAGGACACAGUUCUCUUCAGAAACUGAAUGCAAAUUGUUAUGAUGUAACAGCUGAACUUGUGGGGUUUGGAGUCACAUAUAACUUGGCUCAAUCAGGAGGGUACCAUUGACCGGUCUUGCAUCCUUGCAAAAAUUGUUCAUUGUCACCAUUUUAUUCUCUCCACCUGCAGGUACUUCAAUCAAUGAGAUGAUGGGAGGAUUAAACAAAAGUAUAAGUGUUCCCACUGUGGCACAGCAGAAACAAAUCUGACUAGUAUCCAUGAGGAUGCGGAUUCGAUCCCCGGCUUCGCUCAGUGGGUCGGGGAUCUGGUGUUGUCAUGAGCUGUGGUGUAGUUUGCAAAUGGCAGCUCAGAUCCUGCGUUACUGUGGCUGGCUGUGGUAUAGGCCCAGUGGCUACAGCUCCAAUUUGACCCCUAGCCUGGGAACCUCCAUAUGCCAUGGGUGCAGCCCUAAAAAGCAAGAAAAA